UCAACCCGGUACGGAAUUAGACCCAGCCCGUUGUAGGCUAGAAAAUAGUUCUUUGAAAUUUUGAAGUGCCCUAUUUCAAGUCAUUUUUAAUGUGACUGGUUACAUUUUAAGUGUAUUUAUUGUAACAGUGUACAUUUAGUGUCAUUUCUGAUGACUUUAAAAGUUGUUUUUUGUGUAUUCUGCAGGAUCUCAUUUCUUGGUGGAAGGAUUCGAGAAGUACUACACGCCAGCAUACAUGACAUUUGAAACUUUGAUAAUUUGACAGUGACUUAACAAAUUAAGAAAUAUUGUGAAAUCUAGAUGGCUAACAUAGGACAUUUCGGGCUUCGACUAACUUGUCUAGUGUUGAUGUUUAAAGUUAUGAAAUACAGAAUUCUGCUGAGUUUAAUAGAAGUCCAUAAUGAAGCUUUAAAUGUGACAGAUUUACUAUAGAUUAAAGAAGGGCGAAAAUGGACAAGGCCGUGUCCUAAAUAAGAAAUAUGAAAAAUGGGAACUGGUUGAUGGAUAUGGAUGAAACUUUGCAUCAGUGUUGUGUUUAUGAAUAGAAAUCAGGAAAAUAAAGGAUAACUGACAGACCAUGCAGUUACCAAAGCCGGGGUGACCUUACCUUAUAUACUGGUUAAGAUCUAUGGAAGAACUCCUUCAGCUCAGUUUGGCAGCAGAUUUGUCAGGACAAGAUGAGAAGGAUCUCAUUUCUUGGUGGAAGGAUUCGAGAAGUACUACACGCCAGCAUACAUGACAUUUGAAACUUUGAUAAUUUGACAGUGACUUAACAAAUUAAGAAAUAUUGUGAAAUCUAGAUGGCUAACAUAGGACAUUUCGGGCUUCGACUAACUUGUCUAGUGUUGAUGUUUAAAGUUAUGAAAUACAGAAUUCUGCUGAGUUUAAUAGAAGUCCAUAAUGAAGCUUUAAAUGUGACAGAUUUACUAUAGAUUAAAGAAGGGCGAAAAUGGACAAGGCCGUG